rnacentral:lncRNA from 1 species
GACUCUGUAUUUAAGUUCCUCAUUCCAGAGACAUUAACAAUUUCCUUUUAAAUAUUUAUGCUUACAACAUCACACAGAGUUUCACUGAAAGAUGAUCAGGUUUCAACAUAGGUAAGCAAUGUUUCCUUCCCCAAGAUGAUAGAUAAGUUCUUCCAGGUUAAGAUGGUCAUGAUUACCAGAUAGCUCCCAGUUAUAUAUUUAAUAAGUUGUUAAGACCCUAGACUAUAACUCAUUCAUUAUAGGCAUGAUUCUUCACAAUGCUGUACUUCAAAUGCUGUACUCUCAGAUUGUCUUUAAUCAAUAAAUGCUUUUAGGAUUUGGGGUGUGAACACAUCCCCUGAAGUGUUUAUCAUAACAAUGUUAGUUUUCCAACUCAACUACAUGCCUCAGUUCAACCCCAUGUGUGACUCAUCCCCAUCUCAUUUGUUCUAUUACAACAUCCACAUGUCAUCAUCUUUCUGAUGAGGAUUAGAGAAUUUCUAAAAUAUAUCUGCACUGAGGUCAUGCAAAAAGGAAAGACAGUGCCUCUGACAUACUUAACCAUCUGAUGACCUAACUAUACUUGGUAGUUUUACUUAAGAAUUUGUGUGUGUGUGUAUGCGCACACUAAUCAUACUGUAUAUGGACUGUCCUACUCACCAAAACUUCUCUUUGAAAUUUAAAUGAGAAUCCAUUUAAUAGAAUUAUGAGUCAUCUCAUAAAAACUACACGUCUAUUUAUGCUAAUUUCAAGAUAUGCAGACACAACAUAGCCCUCGCUCACGUGAUAUACAUAUACACAUACUAGAAGAAAUUCUAAAAUAACAACUAUCCUUGACUGAGCUUUACAUCACGAUCUCAUUUGUCACAACCCCGAAGGGCAUUAUUAUCUUCACUUUAUGACUAAGGAAACUGAGGCUCGGGUGUAGUACACCAACCUGCCUCUGAUCAUUCAUCUAUAAAAUGAUGGAACCUGGAUCUGUACCCAACAUACUUGGGCUUCAUGUCACCCAUGUCAAAAAUAGUUGCUAAAGAGUUGUGUAAAAUCUUAACAAUGGACCAUACAGUCUCAGGAAUAGUUGCUGAUGGAUUUGUCUAAAGUGUGAAUGCAGGGGUGAGAAAUUUGAGUUUUCUAUUUUUAAAUCAGAAUUCAUAUUAUUUCAGAGGCAAUGGGUUGUGUGAUCUCAUUUACAUGGUACUAGAACAAUAUACAUGAUUCAGAAAUAGUCACUCAGGAUCACAAAGGCACAGACUUUUACAACCAAGAACUUCAUCCUCAUUAACCAAACCUGGAAGUGUUCAAUGCUCUGUGCACAGAGAUGACCUCUUAACUUGCAACUACCCUAAAGCUAUACCAGUCCGCACCAGGGGAGCUGAUGGCACAUUUCAAACCCAGAGGAUCUCACACCUUAAAUGUCUGCCCAGCUGGACCUUACACUUAUUUCUAAUUCCUAGAAUUAGAAAAUUUUCCAAAAUUUUCUCUCCCCCACACUCAAAGAACAUAAAGGUAUGAGAUGGAUGAAGACAAGGUAGAAAUAAUUGACAGGCCACCAUUACACCACAUAUUUUCAACCAUCAUUAGCUGGAAAUAUUUUAUCCAGAGUCUUAUCACAAAAACAUAUUGUGAAGGUUUCCACUCAUCACCUCCAAUGACUUGGGAUGCAGUAGUUUCGAGUCACCGCCCUGACCCAAGUCUUAGGUACAUGCACACAUACAACCUGGGGAUAUUAUUAAAAUGCAGAUUAUGAUCUUGUAGCUCUGGGUUGGGGCCCACAAAUCUGCAUUUCUAACAAGCUCUGAGAUGAUGCUGAAGAUGCCGAUCCCUGGACCAUAGUUGGGAGUAGCAAAGUGGUGAUUAUAGAUGAUCUCGAUCCAUCAAUCUCAUGGCAGGUCCCCUCAACUGAAUGUCAUUUCUAUAAGCCAGUCUCAAUCAACUCAAUAUAGAUUGAGCUGGGUGAAUGACACAGCAGGACAGGUGGCAUAAUUGGAAUUCCAUUAGCAUAGUCUUGUUCAAAGCAAGCUAAACCUGCAGGAGCACUGAUUGAGACCUAGAAGGAGGGUGUUUCUUCCAUUCUUGCCAAUAGAAAACAGAAUGUACUUUGAAAAUUAAGGAGGUUUAUCACCUUGUUCCACAUUAUUCCUGGACUCCAUGCACAAUUCAAGCCAUAGAAGUUCACAAGAAAUCAGAUCUAGCUGGGUGCAGUGGUGCACACCUGUAAUACCAGUGGCUCAGGAGGCUGAGGCAGGAGGAUCAUGAGUUCAAAGCCAGCCUCAGCAAAAGCAAGGAGCUAAGCAAUUCAGUGAGACCCUGUCUCUAAAUAAAAUGAAAAAUGGGGCUGGGGAUGUGGCAAAGUGGUUGAGUGCUCCCGAGUUCAGUCCCCAGCACCGCCCCUGCAAAAAAUCAGAUCCAUUAGAGAGAAGAAAAAACACUGUCUAAGGUUGUCUGUUGUGUUAGUAGCCCAGCACUAAAAAGUGUGCUUCUGUUUCUAUCUAAAGGAGGGUUCACUUAUAAAAAUCAUCCCAAAUUGUCUUCAAGGACAAUUUCUUUAUUCAGUGAGCCAAACAAUGGCUGAAGUUUUAAGAAAAAAACAAGUCUAAAAAAAUAAAACUGUGAAAUGAUGUCCUGUUCC